AGUCGAACGAAGUAGCAAUACUUAGUGGCAGACGGGUGAGUAACAUGUAGGUAUCUGCCCUUUGGCCUGGAAUAACACGAGGAAACUUGUGCUAAUACCGGAUAAGUCUUUACGGAGAAAGCUUUAUGCACCAUUGGAUGAGCCUGCACUUGAUUAGUUUGUUGGUGGGGUAAUGGCCUACCAAGACUGUGAUCAAUAGCUGAUUUGAGAGGAUGAUCAGCCACAUUGGGACUGAGACACGGCCCAAACUCCUACGGGAGGCAGCAGUGGGGAAUCUUGCACAAUGGAGGAAACUCUGAUGCAGCGAUGCCGCGUGAGUGAAGAAGGCCUUUGGGUUGUAAAGCUCUUUCGUCGGGGAAGAAAAUGACUGUACCCGAAUAAGAAGGUCCGGCUAACUUCGUGCCAGCAGCCGCGGUAAUACGAAGGGACCUAGCGUAGUUCGGAAUUACUGGGCUUAAAGAGUUCGUAGGUGGUUGAAAUAGUUGGUGGUGAAAUCCCAGAGCUUAACUCUGGAACUGCCAUCAAAACUUUUCAGCUAGAGUAUGAUAGAGGAAAGCAGAAUUUCUAGUGUAGAGGUGAAAUUCGUAGAUAUUAGAAAGAAUACCAAUUGCGAAGGCAGCUUUCUGGAUCAUUACUGACACUGAGGAACGAAAGCAUGGGUAGCGAAGAGGAUUAGAUACCCUCGUAGUCCAUGCCGUAAACGAUGUGUGUUAGACGUUGGAAAUUUAUUUUCAGUGUCGCAGGGAAACCGAUAAACACACCGCCUGGGGAGUACGACCGCAAGGUUAAAACUCAAAUGAAUUGACGGGGACCCGCACAAGUAGUGGAGCAUGUGGUUUAAUUCGAAGAUACGCGCAGAACCUUACCAACACUUGACAUGUUCGUCGCGACUCUAAGAGAUUAGAGUUUUCGGUUCGGCCGGACGAAACACAGGUGCUGCAUGGCUGUCGUCAGCUCGUGUCGUGAGAUGUUGGGUUAAGUCCCGCAACGAGCGCAACCCUCACUUUUAGUUGCCAUCAUUAAGUUGGGCACUCUGAAAGAACUGCCAGUGAUAAGCUGGAGGAAGGUGGGGAUGACGUCAAGUCCUCAUGGCCCUUACGUGUUGGGCUACACACGUGCUACAAUGGUAUCUACAACAGGAAGCAAGACUGCGAAGUUAAGCAAAUCCCUAAAAGAUACCUCAGUUCGGAUUGCACUCUGCAACUCGAGUGCAUGAAGCUGGAAUUACUAGUAAUCGUGGAUCAGCGUGCCACGGUGAAUGCGUUCCCGGGUCUUGUACACACCGCCCGUCACACCAUGGGAGUUGGUUCUACCUUAAGGCAAGGUUUUAAA
rnacentral:rRNA from 1 species